CCUACGGGAGGCAGCAGUGAGGAAUAUUGGUCAAUGGACGAGAGUCUGAACCAGCCAAGUAGCGUGAAGGAUGACUGCCCUAUGGGUUGUAAACUUCUUUUAUAUGGGAAUAAAAUGUUCCACGUGUGGGAUUUUGUAUGUACCAUUUGAAUAAGGAUCGGCUAACUCCGUGCCAGCAGCCGCGGUAAUACGGAGGAUCCGAGCGUUAUCCGGAUUUAUUGGGUUUAAAGGGAGCGUAGGUGGAUUGUUAAGUCAGUUGUGAAAGUUUGCGGCUCAACCGUAAAAUUGCAGUUGAAACUGGCAGUCUUGAGUACAGUAGAGGUGGGCGGAAUUCGUGGUGUAGCGGUGAAAUGCUUAGAUAUCACGAAGAACUCCGAUUACGAAGGCAGUUCACUGGACUGCAACUGACACUGAGGCUCGAAAGUGUGGGUAUCAAACAGGAUUAGAUACCCCAGUAGUC
rnacentral:rRNA from 1 species